GGAAGGGAUGUAUUUAUUAGAUUAAAAACCAAUGCCCUCCGGGGCUCACUGGUGAUUCAUGAUAACUCCUCGAAUCGCAUGGCCUUGCGCCGGCGAUGGUUCAUUCAAAUUUCUUCCCUAUCAACUUUCGAUGUUUGGGUAUUGGCCAAACAUGGUUGCAACGGGUAACGGAGGGUUAGGGCUCGACCCCGGAGAAGGAGCCUGAGAAACGGCUACUACAUCCAAGGAAGGCAGCAGGCGCGCAAAUUACCCAAUCCCGACACGGGGAGGUAGUGACAAUAAAUACUGAUACAGGGCUCUUUUGGGUCUUGUAAUUGGAAUGAGUACAAUUUAAAUCCCUUAACGAGGAACAAUUGGAGGGCAAGUCUGGUGCCAGCAGCCGCGGUAAUUCCAGCUCCAAUAGCGUAUAUUAAAGUUGUUGUGGUUAAAAAGCUCGUAGUUGAACCUUGGGCCUGGCUGGCCGGUCCGCCUCACCGCGUGUACUGGUCCGGCCGGGCCUUUCCCUCUGUGGAACCCCAUGCCCUUCACUGGGCGUGGCGGGGAACCAGGACUUUUAC
rnacentral:rRNA from 1 species